rnacentral:rRNA from 1 species
UCCGUAGGCGGUUUAGUAAGUCAGUGGUGAAAGCCCACCGCUCAACGGUGGAACGGCCAUUGAUACUGCUAGACUUGAAUUAUUAGGAAGUAACUAGAAUAUGUAGUGUAGCGGUGAAAUGCUUAGAGAUUACAUGGAAUACCAAUUGCGAAGGCAGGUUACUACUAAUGGAUUGACGCUGAUGGACGAAAGCGUGGGUAGCGAACAGGAUUAGAUACCCUGGUAGUCC